rnacentral:tRNA from 1 species
GCAAUGGUGGUCCAGUAGUAGAAUUCUUGCCUUCCACGCUGGAGACCUGAGUUCGAUUCCUGGUCAAUGCA